UUUUCUGGCUCCUCCACACACCUGCAACUUGUUUCCAAUCAACCGCCUAUUAUCUACCCUGGUCCAGCACGCCAGUAUCUUCUGUGAACCACUCAAACCUGCCUGCCAGUCACUUGCUUGCCCACCUGCUUUGCCUUCACCGCUUCAGCUCAACCAUCUUGCUUGGAUUUCCCAUUCUGGACCUGGAUCACUCCCCGCCUCAGCAGACUGUUAAAUCCCUCGAAAAACUCCCUUUGACUAUGAUUUUAGGUAGACUGAAGACGACAAGAAGCAACAUGGAGACUAAUCAAUCUUUGUCUGAUAAUCAACAGUUAAAGCUACAAUCUGUUGAAUUGGGAGUUUGACACCUCCCAGUAGAAGUAACAAAAAAAAGACACUGUGGCAGAAUACAUGCUGAAUCCGGAAAAAUGCAGAAAACCACUUACAUGUACUCAUUUGGCAGACUUACUGACACUUGAUGAAUUAAAAGCAAUAAAAAACGUGGCAACACACAAUUUUCUCUAAAUAAAAAUCCGUGACCCCUUUUCAAUUCCGCUACCACAGGUGUUUAAUAACUUCUCUUCUAAGGACUAUGUGGACAAUGGGCAUAUACAAUCUGUGCUUGCACCUGUUAAUAUGGUUGGCUCUUGAAAGAAGCUGGCCCACGCUCAGUCCCGGAAAAGGAUGUAAUGUCACACACAAAACUUAAAGGCAGUUUUGUUUAUAUUGUGCAUGCACACAAAGGAUGCAGAUACACACCUGCCAAUGGUUUCGCACUAUUCCACUAAUCAACAGGUGGCUGUAACAUGCCAAGACAUGCUGCAAUGUUCCAACAAAGGCAAGAAGGAGGAACCUGCCAGCAAGUAAACAUGGAUGUAAACAAUGCUGGAUUUAAAUACUUAAGAGGAAGGAAAUGCAUUCUUACAGCUCAGGGUGACAGUUUGUUUUGAGAGGAGAGUGAAGGAGAUGUCAAUCAAGCAUAGUCUGUACACACCCACACAGUCUGGAAGAGAUGUCAAAUCAGGAAAAUAAGUGAAAACACCU